UACGUAGGGGGCAAGCGUUAUCCGGAUUUACUGGGUGUAAAGGGCGUGUAGGCGGGCCUGCAAGUCAGAAGUGAAAUCUGGGGGCUUAACCCCCAAACUGCUUUUGAAACUGCGGGUCUUGAGUGAUGGAGAGGCAGGCGGAAUUCCCGGUGUAGCGGUGAAAUGCGUAGAGAUCGGGAGGAACACCAGUGGCGAAGGCGGCCUACUGGGCUUUAACUGACGCUGAGGCUCGAAAGCGUGGGGAGCAAACAGG
rnacentral:rRNA from 1 species